rnacentral:lncRNA from 1 species
AAAAAUUUAAAGUUUCGCUACAGGAAAGUUUAUAAAAAUGACCAUAUAACUGAUAUUCUUGUCAAUACCGAAGUGCUGAAAGUUCGGGGUCAUUAUUUGUUGACAUUCACGUGCGUGUUUUAAAUCUAAGACUUGAACUUAAAGACGAUAGAAUUAAGUAUUAAAGCGUUAACAAUCGAGUUCUAAAUGCAAGCCCUGAGCAGAACCGCA